CGAGGACGAACGCUGGCGGCGUGCUUAACACAUGCAAGUCGAACGGUAAGGCCCUUCGGGGUACACGAGUGGCGAACGGGUGAGUAACACGUGGGUGAUCUGCCCUGCACUUUGGGAUAAGCCUGGGAAACUGGGUCUAAUACCGAAUAGGACCAUGGACUUCACGGUUUGUGGUGGAAAGCUUUUGCGGUGUGGGAUGGGCCCGCGGCCUAUCAGCUUGUUGGUGGGGUAAUGGCCUACCAAGGCGACGACGGGUAGCCGGCCUGAGAGGGUGACCGGCCACACUGGGACUGAGAUACGGCCCGGACUCCUACGGGAGGCAGCAGUGGGGAAUAUUGCACAAUGGGCGCAAGCCUGAUGCAGCGACGCCGCGUGAGGGAUGACGGCCUUCGGGUUGUAAACCUCUUUCAGCACAGACGAAGCGCAAGUGACGGUAUGUGCAGAAGAAGGACCGGCCAACUACGUG
rnacentral:rRNA from 1 species